rnacentral:rRNA from 1 species
UCAGAUUAGGUAGUUGGUGAGGUAAAGGCUCACCAAGCCGACGAUCUGUAGCUGGUCUGAGAGGACGACCAGCCACACUGGGACUGAGACACGGCCCAGACUCCUACGGGAGGCAGCAGUGGGGAAUUUUGGACAAUGGGCGCAAGCCUGAUCCAGCAAUGCCGCGUGCAGGAUGAAGGCCUUCGGGUUGUAAACUGCUUUGUACGGAACGAAACGGUGAGCUCUAAUACAGUUUGCUAAUGACGGUACCGUAAGAAUAAGCACCGGCUAACUACGUG